rnacentral:misc_RNA from 1 species
GAUGAAGAACGUAGCGAAAUGCGAUACGUAAUGUGAAUUGCAGAAUUCAGUGAAUCAUCGAGUCUUUGAACGCACAUUGCGCCCUCUGGUAUUCCGGAGGGCAUGCCUGUCCGAGCGUCAUUGCUGCCCUCAAGCACGGCUUGUGUGUUGGGCUCCGUCCCCCGAUCCCGGGGGACGGGCCCGAAAGGCAGCGGCGGCACCGCGUCCGGUCCUCGAGCGUAUGGGGCUUUGUCACUCGCUCUGUAGGCCCGGCCGGCGCUUGCCGAUCAACCAAAUUUUUAUCCAGGUUGACCUCGGAUCAGGUAGGGAUACCCGCUGAACUUAAGCAUAUCAAUAAGCGGAGGA